rnacentral:lncRNA from 1 species
UUUAGGGAGCUACCAUUUGAUUUUUAUGGGGGGGGGGCUAGGAUGAAAUUUGAAAAAAAUAGGCAGGACAGGAGUUUUGAGUUAAAAAAAAAAAGUCAGGAUGAGACACUUGCAAAAAAAAAGUCAGGACGACAAUUUAGGUAAAAAAAGUCAGGAUAAACUAAAAAAAAAAAAGGCAGGACCGAACAGAGUGAAAAAUAAAAAGGCAGGACAGAGAUUACAGUUUAAAAAAAAUGAAGGACAAAAUUUUUCAUCCUAGCCCCCCC